rnacentral:rRNA from 1 species
CCUACGGGAGGCAGCAGUGAGGAAUAUUGGUCAAUGGCCGCAGGGCUGAACCAGCCAAGUCGCGUGAGGGAUGACGGUCCGAUGGAUUGUAAACCUCUUUUGUCAGGGAGCAAAGGGCGCCACGUGUGGCGCUUUGCGAGUACCUGAAGAAAAAGCAUCGGCUAACUCCGUGCCAGCAGCCGCGGUAAUACGGAGGAUGCGAGGGUUAUCCGGAUUUAUUGGGUUUAAAGGGUGCGCAGGCGGAAUGUGAAGUCAGCGGUAAAAUUUCGGGGCUCAACCCCGUCGUGCCGUUGAAACUGGCGUUCUUGAGUGAGCGAGAAGUAUGCGGAAUGCGUGGUGUAGCGGUGAAAUGCAUAGAUAUCACGCAGAACUCCGAUUGCGAAGGCAGCAUACCGGCGCUCAACUGACGCUCAUGCACGAAAGCGUGGGUAUCGAACAGGAUUAGAUACCCUAGUAGUC